rnacentral:rRNA from 1 species
AUUGAACGCUGGCGACAUGCCUUACACAUGCAAGUCGAACGGUAACAGGUCUUCGGAUGCUGACGAGUGGCGAACGGGUGAGUAAUACAUCGGAACGUGCCCGAGAGUGGGGGAUAACGAGGCGAAAGCUUUGCUAAUACCGCAUACGAUCUCAGGAUGAAAGCAGGGGACCGCAAGGCCUUGCGCUCACGGAGCGGCCGAUGGCAGAUUAGGUAGUUGGUGGGAUAAAAGCUUACCAAGCCGACGAUCUGUAGCUGGUCUGAGAGGACGACCAGCCACACUGGGACUGAGACACGGCCCAGACUCCUACGGGAGGCAGCAGUGGGGAAUUUUGGACAAUGGGCGCAAGCCUGAUCCAGCCAUGCCGCGUGCAGGAUGAAGGCCUUCGGGUUGUAAACUGCUUUUGUACGGAACGAAAAGACUCCUUCUAAUAAAGGGGGUCCAUGACGGUACCGUAAGAAUAAGCACCGGCUAACUACGUGCCAGCCGCCGCCGUAAAAC